GACGAACGCUGGCGGCGUGCUUAACACAUGCAAGUCGAACGGAAAGGCCCUGCUUUUGUGGGGUGCUCGAGUGGCGAACGGGUGAGUAACACGUGAGUAACCUGCCCUUGACUUUGGGAUAACUUCAGGAAACUGGGGCUAAUACCGGAUAGGAGCUCCUGCUGCAUGGUGGGGGUUGGAAAGUUUCGGCGGUUGGGGAUGGACUCGCGGCUUAUCAGCUUGUUGGUGGGGUAGUGGCUUACCAAGGCUUUGACGGGUAGCCGGCCUGAGAGGGUGACCGGCGACAUUGGGACUGAGAGACGGCCCAGACUCCUACGGGAGGCAGCAGUGGGGAAUAUUGCACAAUGGGCGGAAGCCUGAUGCAGCAACGCCGCGUGCGGGAUGACGGCCUUCGGGUGGUAAACCGCUUUCGCCUGUGACGAAGCGUGAGUGACGGUAAUGGGUAAAGAAGCACCGGCUAACUACGUG
rnacentral:rRNA from 1 species